rnacentral:lncRNA from 1 species
GAUGAAUUCCUUGUCCCAAGGUUGUACUAAACUAGGAAAUGGUAGAGUUCAGAUUAGAACCCAGGGGAUCUCACUCCAGGUCUGGCAUCUUAAGUACAAAGUUACACUGCCUCUCUGGUUCCUAUGAGAUAACGUUCUUAAAUUAGAUAGCAGGAGAGACAUGACUUAAUUACUGAGACUACUUUGGAGCCAAACGGAAAAUUAUACUACCACUUACUCAGAUGCCAGGGUAAUUAGAGCCCAAUUAUUUCUCUCAUUU